GACGAACGCUGGCGGCGUGCUUAACACAUGCAAGUCGAGCGGUAAGGCCCUUUCGGGGGUACACGAGCGGCGAACGGGUGAGUAACACGUGGGUGACCUGCCCUCAGCUCUGGGAUAAGCCUGGGAAACCGGGUCUAAUACCGGAUAUGACUCCAUGACGCAUGUUGUGGGGUGAAAGCCUUGUGCGGCUGAGGAUGGGCCCGCGGCCUAUCAGGCUUGUUGGUGGGGUGAUGGCCUACCAAGGCGACGACGGGUAGCCGGCCUGAGAGGGCGACCGGCCACACUGGGACUGAGACACGGCCCAGACUCCUACGGGAGGCAGCAGUGGGGAAUCUUGCGCAAUGGGCGAAAGCCUGACGCAGCGACGCCGCGUGAGGGAUGACGGCCU
rnacentral:rRNA from 1 species